rnacentral:rRNA from 1 species
AUGCUCCGGCUGCGAAGCUCCAUCCUCGCCCAUCUCCUCUCUUCUUCUCAAGCCACCUCUCCCGCAUCCCCUCUCCACCGCCUCCUCUCGGUCGCCAUUUCCCCAAGCACCGGAUUCGCCGUGGAGAACUACCUCUUCUCCACCUGCGGCCUCACGCGGGCACAGGCCGUCAAGGCCUCCCGCAAGCUCCCCCGCCUCAAGUCCCCCGCCAAUCCCGACGCCGUGCUCGCCUUCCUCGCCGGCCUCGGCCUCUCCGGCGCCGAUGCCGCCGCGGUCGUCGCCAAGGACCCGCAGCUCCUCUGCGCCAGCGUGGAGAGAACCCUGGCGCCCAUCGUCGCCGGGCUCUCUGACCUCGGCCUAUCGCGUUCCGAAAUCGCACGCCUCGCCUCGCUCGCCGCCCACAGAUUCCGCAGAAAGGACACCGUCUCCAAGCUCGAGUACCACCUGCGCCUCUUCCGCUCCUCCGAGAACCUCCUCCGGGCCAUGAAGUUCUGCGAUCUCAUCUCGCACAGCCUCGAGAGGGUGGUCAAGCCCAAUGUCGCGUUGCUGCGCGAGUGCGGGUUAGGUGAUUGCGAUAUUGCCAAGCUGUGCAUCUCAAGGCCGAGGAUGAUCACCGCCAACCCGGAGCUUGUCCAGGCGAUGGUGACAUGCGCCGAAGACAUAGGUGUGCCCCGUGGCUCUGUCAUGUUCAGGCACGCGCUGCAUGCUGUUGCAUCUGUCGGCAAGGAGGAGAUCUUGCUGGGAUGUCCAGCCAAAGUGGAGUACUUGAGGAACACGUUCAGGUGGACGGAUGCUGAGGUGGCCAUUGCUGUUUCUAAGGCUCCAGCGGUGCUGACGAAGGCUAAGGAAUCGCUGCAGCGCAGAUCCAAGUUCCUCAUCUGCGAGCUGGGGUUGGAACCGGCACACAUUGCUUAUCGUCCGGCAAUGCUCAUGUACAGCUUGGAGGGCCGGAUCAGACCCCGGCACUACGUUAUAAAGUUUCUCAAGGAAAAUGGAUUGCUCAAGUGUGACCCGAGCUACUAUACUGUUUUCAAGGAGUCUGAGAAGACAUUCAAGAAGAAGUUCAUACACCCUCAUAAGGAAGCUGCACCGAACCUGGAAAAAGACUAUGAUGCUGCUUGCAAGGGGGAAGAGCCCACUAAUUUCAGAUUCACAUAA